UACGUAGGGGGCAAGCGUUGUCCGGAAUCAUUGGGCGUAAAGAGCGUGUAGGCGGCCCGGUAAGUCCGCUGUGAAAGUCGAGGGCUCAACCCUCGAAUGCCGGCGGAUACUGUCGGGCUAGAGUCCGGAAGAGGCGAGUGGAAUUCCUGGUGUAGCGGUGAAAUGCGUAGAUAUCAGGAGGAACACCUGUGGUGUAGACAGCUUACUGGACCACUUCUGACGCUGAGACACGAAAGCGUGGGUAGCAAACAGG
rnacentral:rRNA from 1 species